rnacentral:rRNA from 1 species
CUACGACGGGUACGGGUUGUGAGAGCAAGAGCCCGGAGAUGGAUUCUGAGACACGAAUCCAGGCCCUACGGGGUGCAGCAGGCGCGAAAACUUUACAAUGCUAGCAACAGCGAUAAGGGAACCUCGAGUGCCAGGUUACAAAUCUGGCUGUCGAGAUGCCUAAAAAGCAUUUCAUAGCAAGGGCCGGGCAAGACCGGUGCCAGCCGCCGCGGUAACACCGGCGGCUCGAGUGGUAACCGUUAUUAUUGGGUCUAAAGGGUCUGUAGCCGGCCGGAUAAGUCUCUUGAGAAAUCUGGCAGCUUAACUGUCAGGCUUUCAGGAGAUACUGUCUGGCUCGAGGCCGGGAGAGGUGAGAGGUACUUCAGGGGUAGGGGUGAAAUCUUGUAAUCCUUGAAGGACCACCAGUGGCGAAGGCGUCUCACCAGAACGGACCUGACGGCAAGGGACGAAAGCUAGGGGCACGAACCGGAUUAGAUACCCGGGUAGUCCUAGCCGUAAACGAUACUCGCUAGGUGUCGGCCACGGUGCGACCGUUGUCGGUGCCGUAGGGAAGCCGUGAAGCGAGC